rnacentral:lncRNA from 1 species
GACAGUGAAAUCCGAGCUGUUCCUUUCUCCUCCCUUUUUCCUAAGUAGACACUCCCAUUUAAAAUACCCUGCUAUACCAUACUUGUAGUACUUCCUAGCCUUCUUACUGUCUUUCUGGGACUAUCUUUAUCCUAUUUACACCUAUGCACCCUUAUUCUUCCCUUUUUUGGGCCUCUCUGAAACCGCAAGACUCUCCUGGAAGACCUCCCUC